AUACACAUAUAAAACUAACUAAUCUAAAAGAGUCAUUGCAAAUAAAAUGUCGGAACUGUUGUUAAAAUUUAAACAUAAAUGAAUUCAAAUAAAAUAAAAACCCAAAAUAUCCGCUUUAAGACCAGUUCUGAAGCAGAAGAAUCCUGACUAAUACGGAGCAGCUGAAACUGGUUUCUUCAAGUUUGACCAAAUACAUGCCGAGGAGAUGGUGCCCGAGGCUGGCUAGUCCUCUUGACGGGAUUAUAUAAAGACCGCAUCCAGUCAGGUCAACUCAGUCAACGUGAAGCAGUCACCCCCUCGAUUUUAUCUAUCAACAUGAAAUUCUUGUCGCUGAUGUUGGUGUUGGUGGUGGCCCUGGCCGCCCUGAUGGGGUCAGCCCGAGCUAUGCCUGACCCCUAUGCCCUGGCUGGCCCUGACCCCUACGCUGAGGCUGACCCACACUUCCGUCGCCGGUUCGGUUACGGCGGCUAUAGAGGCUACGGUCGUUUCUAUGGUUAAUCAAGGAACCUACUCUCACCGACUCCAAGCUCCUCCCAAGAGACGGGUCCUGCCAGAAGACUCACAAGAAAGCAACGUAGACCACAGCAAGCUUAACCACUUCAGCACCUCCACCAUCAAGCAUUUACAAUCCCCACCACCUCCACCAUGAUUGUUGGGGAGUGACUAAUUGAUAAUUCAAUAGUUAGCGACCAAUAACUGAAUUCUAUAAACAAAAUAAAUGCACUUUAAGAAACUAUGCUUCAGUUUACGUCCUUAAGAAAUAUUAAUAGUGUACUGUAUUAAGUGCAGUUAGUGCUGAAUAUGAUAACAUAUAAAAUAUA